rnacentral:tRNA from 1 species
GGGUAUACAGCUCAGUGGCAGGGUGCUUGUUUGGCAUGCAUGAGGUCCUGGGUUCAAUCCCUAGUACCUCUG